rnacentral:rRNA from 1 species
UACAUAGGGGGCAAGCGUUAUCCGGAUUUACUGGGUGUAAAGGGAGCGCAGGCGGCACGGCAAGCCUGAUGUGAAAGCCCGCGGCCCAACCGCGGGACUGCAUUGGGAACUACCGGGCUGGAGUGCCGGAGAGGUAGGCGGAAUUCCUAGUGUAGCGGUGAAAUGCGUAGAUAUUAGGAGGAACACCAGUGGCGAAGGCGGCCUACUGGACGGUGACUGACGCUGAGGCUCGAAAGCGUGGGGAGCAAACAGG